GCCGCCUCUUCCUCUCUAGCUGCGCACCUGAUUGGACAGUUUUUACGCUAGCGCCUCUGAUUGGCUGCGGCUUCAUGCCCCACCCACUUAGACCCUGAGUGACAGGCGAUGUAAUCAGACAACGGGCUGAAUGAGGUGAAGACAUUCAAGUUGGCCACCCUGGAGAAGAAACCAGAGAGCCCAGAUGAGGCUAAAGCAGCAAAAAAGCAGUGUCCCUGUGAUGGGGAGGAGCUCCUCCCUCCCAGCUGGAGGCCUACACAUCUAAAGAGCAAAGGGACCUUUUUGCCCCAGCCCAACAGUCCCUGAAAUGCCUCUUUGCAGGAGAUCAGAGUUCUCCAGGAGAUGCAGCUGCUUCAGCUGGCUGUCAACAAUGAUCACCUUCGGCCUGUGGAGCAAUUUUGGGUCUGCCUCCAGUUAAUGGAGUGGCUCAGUGAGACUGAGAGGUCAGCAACACCACCCUCAAGGCCAUGGAGAACAUGCCAUGAUGAAUCUCCGGGGACAUUGAGUGCCUGGACAAACAGGAGCAAAGUGCCUCAGGGCUCAGUGACAUUUGGGCUAGGCAUGGGCUCCCAGCUCCACCACUGACCAGCCCUGUGACUGGGGCAGAAAAUUCACUGCUGUGGUACUUGAGGCCCCACUGUCAUAAAUAUAAUGCACACUGCCUAUUCUUUUUUCUCAUAUAUCUGUUUAUUUAUAAUCACCAUGUAUUACUGAUCUCUGUGUUUUUAUUAAAAUUAAUAAGCAUGUUAUACAGUUUUUAUCAUUCUUAUGGUUUCUUUGCUAUGUGAUUCCUCUCAUGUGUGGUACUUAAGAGUAGUUAAAUCCAUAGAAACAUAUAGGAGAGUGUUCCCCAGGGGCCAGAGGGAGAAUAACAAGGAGCUGCUGUUUAAUGAGUACAGUUUGUUUCAAAACGUGGAAAAUGCUUUUUGUAUAUGGAAAUGAUGGUGGCAAAAUAAUGGGUGUACUUAAUUCAUCUCAAAUAAAACCUCUAAUAUGA